rnacentral:rRNA from 1 species
UUACUGANUUACCGCUCUAUAACCCUUUGUGAACAUACCUAACCGUUGCUUCGGCGGGCAGGGGAAGCCUCUCGCGGGCCUCCCCUCCCGGCGCCGGCCCCCACCACGGGGACGGGGCGCCCGCCGGAGGAAACCAAACUCUAUUUACACGACGUCUCUUCUGAGUGGCACAAGCAAAUAAUUAAAACUUUUAACAACGGAUCUCUUGGUUCUGGCAUCGAUGAAGAACGCAGCGAAAUGCGAUAAGUAAUGUGAAUUGCAGAAUUCAGUGAAUCAUCGAAUCUUUGAACGCACAUUGCGCUCGCCAGCAUUCUGGCGAGCAUGCCUGUUCGAGCGUCAUUUCAACCCUCAAGCACCGCUUGGUUUUGGGGCCCCACGGCACACGUGGGCCCUUAAAGGUAGUGGCGGACCCUCCCGGAGCCUCCUUUGCGUAGUAACUAACGUCUCGCACUGGGAUCCGGAGGGACUCUUGCCGUAAAACCCCCAAAUUCUUUACAGGUUGACCUCGGAUCAGGUAGGAAUACCCGCUGAACUUAAGCAUAUCAAUAAGCGGAGGAAAAGAAA